UACAGAGGGGGCCAGCGUUAUUCGGAAUUAUUGGGCGUAAAGGGCGCGUAGGCGGCCUGGCAAGUGGAAGGUGAAAUCCCUCGGCUUAACCGAGGAACUGCCUCCCAAACUGCUUGGCUUGAGACCGGGAGAGGUGAGUGGAAUUCCCAGUGUAGCGGUGAAAUGCGUAGAUAUUGGGAGGAACACCAGUGGCGAAGGCGGCUCGCUGGACCGGUACUGACGCUGAUGCGCGAAAGCGUGGGGAGCAAACGGG
rnacentral:rRNA from 1 species